rnacentral:lncRNA from 1 species
AGCAGGAUGUCCACGUGGGUGCCAUGUGGGAAUCUUGUGUGUGGCCCACAUAGCUUACUAUUGGCCACAAAAUUGAUGCUGUGGAGGAAGAAUUAAGAGAGCCCUAUGGAGAUAGGGUGGUUGUAAGAGAUGGUACAAGUUGGUCCACAAAUACAUGGUGCCAGAUGAAGUGAGUUCAAUCAAUGGUCUGACCAAGGAACAAAGGGUUGCACUAAAUUUCAACCACAAAGUCCACUCUAUCCACAAUAGGUUGUUUUCUUGCAUCCUUGUGUCUUAUAUAUCUUCUUUGCCUAGAAAAAAACUCAAGGAAUAUUUUGCCUGAUCGUGAUAUCACUAAUUCAUAUAUUAUUGUAUAAAUGAAUGGUAUAGUUAAUUUUGUUCACUCCAUUUGGGAAUGACAAGUGGUUCACAUUUUUUUUUUUUAUCAUUUUAUAGUACCCAUCCAAUUAAACAUGUUUUAGUUUACAAUCAAACACUAUAUCUAAUGAUAGUUUUUCUCAAAUUGUAAGUGUGAGAUUAUGUUGACUCACAUAAACGACAAUGACUAUUUGGUAUUUGUGUUGAGUAUGAGACUAGUCAUAAGCAUGGACGGAGCCAAUGAAGGCCUACUAGGGGCAUAUACCCCUACUCAAGUGAUUAGUUUGUUAAGUUACAGACUAUAAUUAUAUAAUAUAGUAAUAUACAUGCGUUAUAUUUGAAAAAAAAUAUAAGUAUCUAACAUCCAACAUAUCUUCAUAUUGUAUAUACUUCAUAUCAAUUACUAUAUGAGCAAAAGCACUCUUUUUCUAUAAUUCAAACUGAAAAACCUCUCUCACAUGUAAUCAUGUAUUAAUAUUUUUCUUAUCACUCUACCACUUUCCAAUACUACACUAAAAUUUUUGUAACAUUGGAAAUGUGAUACAUCAUCAUUUGAAAAUCAUUCCUAUUAUCUAUUGGGUAGCUAUACUAUAAUAAGGUUUUCUUAGUUAAUUUUCGGGUUGCCCCCACUAGAAGAAAUUUCUAGCUCCGUUCCUAGUUGUAAGAUCAGAUGCUUAAAUGUUUAUCAAGAGAUUUUUGACCCAAUGUUUAUUGAGAGAUUAGGGUGUCACUGAGGGCCAAGGAUUUGUUGUCCCUAAUUUCAUGUCUCAUUUGUAUCUCUUUAUUAGUUUUUUGACAUGUGUCUCUCCACUUGGCUAUAAAAUUAACACCGCUAACAAUUUAUAUAUAACUAUAUUAAAAAAAAAAACUAAAGAAUUGCAGAAAUCACCAUUCACGCCCAAAUCCCCUGCAGGACCUCCGCUUAUCACAUCCUACUGGGCCUCUUCUCCUCCAUCAGGCCGUUCACGCCCAAAUCGCAGUUCGAUCAGCUCUUCGUAUUAAUAGGUAAAUGGCAGCAAAUCGAUUUUGAAUCCUUCUAUGGCUGCAAAUUGAUGUUUAAUCCUUCUAUGGGCAGCAAAUCAUUGUUUAAUGGGGGAGUCCUAAUUAAUUCACGCCCAAGUGUAAUCCUAUAUGGCAGCAAAUUGACCUCCAAUCGCAACCGCUCAUCUCGCCCCUCAGCGAUUUGAAGUGGUUUGAGAAGAAUCUCGGACAAGAUUAAGACAUUGAGGGUGCGUUUACUAAUUCGUAAUCAGAUUGAGGGGAAUUGAAUUGAGGAGGAAUUGAAUUGAGGGGGAAUUGGAAUGAGCUGGAAUCAGAAUUAGAUUCCUAUUGAAGUUGUUUACCAAAAUUGUCUGGAAUCGGAGUAGAAAUGAUAUUGAUCUAUAUAAACUGUUUACUAAUUCAUAUGAAUCGGAAUAAAAUCUAAUAUAAUUACUAAAGUACCCUUGCUUAACUAAUGUAUUUUAUUUGCUAAUUAUUUUUAGUAAAACUUUUACUCUUUCAUUUUUUUUUAUCUUUAGAGAGAUUUUUUUAGUACAAAUUUAAUAUGAAAUAAUAUUUUUUUUAGUACAAAUCACCCUAAUUUAUAUCCUCUUCUCUCUCUCCCCC